rnacentral:rRNA from 1 species
AUGCUCGGCGGCAACCAGGCCUUCACCGUCGCGCUGGCCGAGCAGCUCCGCGGCCUCCACCUCGGGCAAAUGCAGGUGCCGGUGCCGGUGCCGGUGAAGGCCGUGGUGUCUCCACCGGCGCUGGACGAGCUCCUCGUCGGCCCUGCCGUGGAGCCACCACUAGGCUGCGCGAACACGCCAGAGGACGGCCUCCUGCAAGCUGCAGCAGGGGGAGCUGGGCCACGCGGAGAGCAGGAGAAGCACGCAGGUGCAGCUCCAGCGGUGGCUCUUCCUCUUGGUCGACGUCGACGACGUCGCCUCCGACACUGCCUACAGCCGUGGCCCUUCGCCAACGGCGAACGGGGCGCUCCGGCGCUUGCGCGGACCUGCACAAGCUCGCGGAGUUCAUGCUGUGGGCAUCAGACGACCGCGUGA